rnacentral:ncRNA from 1 species
GACUUUAACGGCCGCGGUAUCCUGACCGUGCAAAGGUAGCAUAAUCACUUGUCUCUUAAUUGGGGACUAGUAUGAAUGGCACCACGAGGGUUCAACUGUCUCUUACUCCCAAUCAGUGAAAUUGACCUUCCCGUGCAGAGGCGGGGAUAAUUAUACAAGACGAGAAGACCCUGUGGAGCUUAAGUCGUAUAACUCAACAAAUACUAAUAUUUAACCUAUUGGAAUAACAUGUAUAAUCUAUGAGUUAUAGUCUUUGGUUGGGGUGACCUCGGAGCAUAAAAGAACCUCCGAAUGAAUAAAACCAAGAUUAACAAAUCUAAGUGUAAUAUUACCAGUAAUUGACCCAUAUUUUGAUCAACGGAACAAGUUACCCCAGGGAUAACAGCGCAAUCCUAUUUGAGAGCCCAUAUCGAAAACAGGGUUUACGACCUCGAUGUUGGAUCAGGACAUCCAAAUGGUGCAACCGCUAUUAAAGGUUCGUUUGUUCAACGAUUAAAGUCCUACGUGAUCUGAGUUCAGACCGGAGAAAUCCAGGUCGGUUUCUAUCUGUAAAUUCAUUUCUCCCAGUACGAAAGGACAAGAGAAAUAGGGCCAAUAUCCAUAAUAAGCCCUAGAAUUAAUAUAUGAAUUUAUCUAAAUAUACUAAAUCAACCCUAUAUACCCCCAAGAACAGGGCUAUUAAGAUGGCAGAGCCGG